GAAAGCAUGUAUCAUACUGCACAAUAUGAUAGUCGAAGACGAACGAGAUGGGUACAACACUCAGUUUGAUGUUUCAGAAUUCCUACAAGUUGAAGGAAACCAAACUCCACAAGUCGAUUUAUCGUAUUCUACAGGUAUGCCUCUAAAUAUCGAGAAUAUGAUGGGCAUGCGAAAUCAACUUCGUGAUCAAAAUAUGCAUCAACAAU
rnacentral:sRNA from 1 species